ACAAACUCAAUCCAAGUGUGCGGUAGCUACUGCACUUAAUUUGAUUUGUUUACAUUAUUAGGCAGUAGUCACAAUCCUUAAGUGUUUAUGUUUUGCAACGAAGAUGCUAACACAACUAGCCUCAAGCACAAAAUGUAGUGUAUAUGAUAAAAUAUUCGACAUUUCUUUGAAAGGAAGUCAUGUUCCAGCUUACUCACUUUCUCAGUUGGCUGAAAGCUUUUGCCAUCAAAGGAAAAAAGGAGUCUGAACUACAUGAGGGUGAGUAAAUGAUGACAAUGGGCAAAUUAGCCACCAAAGGAUGCUAAAGAUAAAAUAUGUGUUUGCUAACUGUAUAAUUGGAAAUCUGCAUUGUUUUUGUAAACAUGGUGGAAAAUUUAUGACAGAAGUACAUGGGAACGGUUAAUGCUUGGAGGUGCUGCCAACCACAGACUGCACUAAAACAUGAGAGUUCAGUUCAGUUCUGAUGGGAACAAUGUUAGUCACUUACAGCUGCUCGAUCUUAAAGAAACCGCUGACUAAACUGACAAUAAAAAUGACAAUCACAUCAUUGCUAUUUCCCCAUUAAAAUGGCACACUGCCACAUUUUGAUUUAUUUCGUUAUUAGAUUUGAAAGCAUGUAUAAGAGGGCAAAAAGCAAUAUGGCAGCAGGAUUGACACUGAAUGAGUUGUCUUGAGAUGUUCAGAAGAAAUCACUAUGAAUUUACUUAUGAAUUGAUUAAUCAUAAAUAGUAAAUAUUUGUUAAAAAAAAAGAUCAUACUGUGUAUGUGUAUAUGCAUAUAUAUAUAUUUUCCUCAUCUUAAAUGGCAUUUAUGCUCAUUCAAAACUUUCUAAGGAACAUGUUAACAUGAUAAAAUCACAUUUUUUAAAGCUCUGAGGGACUGGCUGCCAGCUGUCCAAACAAGCAUGUCAAAUUUAAGCGUGGCAUUUCACCACAUCAGUGUCACUGUUCAUUUUUUAACGCUUUCAGAUUUGUGCCGAAAUCCAUGGGCGGUGGUGUUUUUUGGCCUUACACAUGAAGAUGUGUAACAUUUAAAGGCAGAAACAUUUAAAACAUUUAAAGCAGACGGUCAAUGCAACAUGAUACAGCUGACUAAAACAUCUGUCAGUGUACUCAUUCACACUCAUGCCAGGGAACAAACAUUUGUUAUUUUUUUUUGUUCUACACAGAACUGGAGAAAUAUACUGAAUGAAAAGUGAGACAUUCUCGGCCUCUGCCAAAAUAAACAUCAGAGCAUUAGAUCCUGAGAUAAAACAAAGAAAUGAGUUUUGAAUUCUUUGGGUGAAAAAGUCCAACAAGCUCAUCAAUCUGAUUCAUUUGCCCAAAUUGUUGGCAAUAUGCACUACAUGCGUGAAUCUCACAAGAACAUGUCUUAAUCAUAUUUCACAUAUACAUGUAUGUAAAACAAUGAAGAGUAUGUUUUUGUACCAUUGAGUUUUGUUACAAGAUUUUACGUAGCACGUUUUUUCGCAACAGUUUCUGUUUUCCCCCCAAAUCUCAUAUAUCGCAUUACUUUAUUGCAAAAAAGUUAUAAAAACAUAAAAACUAAACUGUAAUGUAUUUAUACAUCAUGCUAGUAUGUUAUACUACCUAUACACAGUAAAA